rnacentral:rRNA from 1 species
UACGGAGGAUCCAAGCGUUAUCCGGAUUUAUUGGGUUUAAAGGGUGCGUAGGCGGCCUAUUAAGUCAGGGGUGAAAGACGGUAGCUUAACUAUCGCAGUGCCUUUGAUACUGAUGGGCUUGAAUAUACUAGAGGUAGGCGGAAUGUGACAAGUAGCGGUGAAAUGCAUAGAUAUGUCACAGAACACCAAUUGCGAAGGCAGCUUACUAUGGUAUUAUUGACGCUGAGGCACGAAAGCGUGGGGAUCAAACAGG